CUCGGUAACGCAGCUAACGCGUGAAGUCGACCGCCUGGGGAGUACGGUCGCAAGAUUAAAACUCAAAGGAAUUGACGGGGACCCGCACAAGCGGUGGAUGAUGUGGAUUAAUUCGAUGCAACGCGAAAAACCUUACCUACCCUUGACAUGCCUGGAAUUCCGCAGAGAUGUGGAAGUGCCCGAAAGGGAGCCAGGACACAGGUGCUGCAUGGCUGUCGUCAGCUCGUGUCGUGAGAUGUUGGGUUAAGUCCCGCAACGAGCGCAACCCUUAUCACUAGUUGCUACGCAAGGGCACUCUAGUGAGACUGCCGGUGACAAACCGGAGGAAGGUGGGGAUGACGUCAAGUCCUCAUGGCCCUUAUGGGUAGGGCUUCACACGUCAUACAAUGGCCGGUACAGAGGGUUGCCAACCCGCGAGGGGGAGCUAAUCCCAGAAAACCGGUCGUAGUCCGGAUUGCAGUCUGCAACUCGACUGCAUGAAGUCGGAAUCGCUAGUAAUCGCGGAUCAGCAUGUCGCGGUGAAUACGUUCCCGGGUCUUGUACACACCGCCCGUCACACUAUGGGAGCGGGGUUCACCAGAAGCCGUUUGCCUAACCGCAAGGAGGGCGGCGACCACGGUGAGCUUCGUGACUGGGGUGAAGUCGUAACAAGGUAGCCGUAUCGGAAGGUGCGGCUGGAUCACCUCCUUUCUG
rnacentral:rRNA from 1 species